AUCCAAAUUCCAAAGGCGGCUGGUGGAAAAGCUUAAUUUGAAUCCGUUCCGCCAAAUUAGAGCCGAAGACAGACGGAGAAGAGAAAGUAGAGAGACCAUGGAGACAUUGAGUUCACCUCCAUGUCCGAACACGGUGACUGUACGCAGAAACCCUCACCGGAAAGCAAGGCCCACUACUACCACAAAACCUCUGGUCCCUCCGUCUUCCUCUUCAGAUCGGCCUGAAAUCGCUCCUUUCCCAAUCGACGACAUCCUCUCGAUACAAAUCAACCAAAACCCCCAAAUAGAGCCCUCUUCAUCAUCCAUACAAUCUCCCGUCUCCGAAAAUCUCAAGGUUUAUCUUCGAAUUCGACCUAUUGUACCUUUGAAGGGAUCUUCGAGGAGUAACGUAGGCAAUCACAAUGAGAUAUCGAGGAACAAGAAUGUGUGGCCACAAAACCCGGCGUCGAAGAAGAAGAACAGUGCGAGAGAGACGUGCACGAAGAACAAAAGUGGCGAGGGUUGUAUAACGGUCAACGAUUCUCAGUCGGUGACGCUAUCACCACCUCCAGCUUUGCAGGAUUCGAAGAGGAUCAAGUCCGAGGUAUAUCAAGGUUUCUCUCAUGUAUUCUCGGCUGAUUCUUCUCAGAAUGAGGUGUAUGAGAAGAUGGUGAGCCCUCUUGUUAAGGAUUUUCUUGAAGGCAAGAGUGGAAUGCUUACAGCUUUGGGACCCAGUGGUUCUGGUAAGACACAUACGGUAUUUGGGAGUCCUAGGGAGCCAGGAAUGAUCCCUCUUGUACUUCAACAAAUUUUUAAGCAGACAUAUGGAAGCAAUCCCAAUUCAAGGUUAUUUUAUAUAUCAAUGUUCGAAAUAUGUUCUGAACGUGGAAAAGGAGAAAGAAUAUUUGAUUUGUCCCCUGAUGGAGCUGAUUUAUCCAUGCAAAGAUCAACUAUCAAAGGUCUCCAAGAGGCUAUUAUCUCUGAUACUUCUCAUGCUGAAUCUUUAAUAGCCAGUGCAAUCCUGAAACGUGCCACAGCUAUGACAAAUACAAACAGGCAGUCAAGUCGGUCCCAGUGCAUCAUCAACAUCCGCAGUGUCGUUAACAAGCUUGAUGGAGAAGUUGAUCUUCAGUCAAAUGAUGCCAUUCUAACUAUUGUUGACCUCGCUGGCGCUGAAAGAGAAAAGAGAACAGGGAAUCAGGGGACAAGGCUUCUGGAAAGUAACUUCAUCAACAACACAUCAAUGGUUUUUGGGCUGUGUCUAAGAUCAUUAUUGGAGCACCAAAAGAACCCCAGAAAGCCGCUGCAGAAACAUUUUCAGAACUCAUUGUUGACAAGAUACCUACGAGAUUAUUUGGAAGGUAAAAAGCGGAUGGCGUUGAUCUUGACAGUUAGAUCAGGACAAGAAGACUAUCUUGAUACAUCCCAUGUGCUCAGACAAGCUUCACCUUAUAUGAAAAUCAAGUUUGAUAACGUUGAAGAACCAUCCUAUUUGCAUCAUAACAAGAGGCAUUUCCAAAUAUCUUCCAGAUUGGAGCAGCCGAAAAGAAGGAAAUUUUGUAGUCUUGAUGUUUCUGGGAUUGAAGAAGGAACGAGUCUUGAAGAUAAGCGCUCACUUUCUGAGGAAGGGGUUGCAACAAUCAACAAGUUAGGUGCUACUGACUCUGAUCCUUUAGAGUCAGAUUCUCUCGAGAAAAGUGGUAGAACUCAUCGGAUCAUGCAAAGUUUUGCUAAAGCUACAUGGAAUGUCUUGAAAGAAUACAGAGACAAACUUCGGUUGGCAGAAAGUGAAAUCCAAAAUCUCAGUGAGAACCUACGGAAUGAAAAGACAAAAUAUUUUGAGCUGGAAAAGGAGCUGAAGGAUCUAAAGUGUUGUUGUGCUUGUACAAAGGAAAAUGUAGCGGAUGACAAUAUAGUUGAAGUUGAUGCUCUAUAUGUUGAGGAGUGUCCUAACCUCAAGAGAUCUGAAUGCGAUAACACUCCCGAGAAAGAUGACUUCAUCUCGAGACAGGUUGAAGAUGUAAUUUCUCAGGUUAAUGCACGAGCUUCACCUUCAAGUUCAAAAGAGAUUGAGCAUGACAAAGAUGAGCAAGAGAUUCAUACCACUUUCUUCAGUAUAGUGGCAGAAGAAUGUGCAAAUAAGAUGUCUUCUGGGAACAAAAUCAAUGCUGAUAAAUUAGACGAGUCAAAAAUUUCGGCGGUGGUGCAUAUCUUUUCCACUGAAGAUGUAACAGGUUCUGUUGCUAGCAGUUCCUCAUUAGUUGAGAUGGUUAAUGAUAACACCAUUUCCACAUCGAAUCUGCCUGAAAUGCUUCACAAGGAGGACGAGGUGGCAGAAAGUGAAAUCCAAAAUCUCAUUGAGAACCUACGAAAUGAAAAUGUAGCAGAUGACAAUAUAGUUGGAGUAGAUGCUCUAUAUGUUGAUGAGCCAUCUGAAUGCGAUAACACUCCUGAACAGGAUUUAAUCCGGAGACAGGUUGAAGAUGUAAUUUUUUUGGUUUGUAGACCGGUGAUAUCUUGAUUUUCUAAUUUUGUUUUACAUAUAACUGUUGUUCUCUUGGACUUGCAAAUUUUGCCAUGGAAAUUAUUACGUUUUGAUUUUAGGCUAAUUUAUAUACCAUCUAUUGAAUAGAAUAUCUCUAAAGUCUUGGAUCCUUAUUCCUUUUGUAUCCUGAGUACACAUCAAUCAAAAAGUUGAGAAUCAUUAUUCUAUCAAUGGAUGUGGCUCCAGUAGUCAAUUACUUCUUUUCCAUAUCAUAUCAAUAUGCAUCUUUUGUUUGUCCCAAUUUUUUGUAUUCCGGUUCAUAUACUAGUACUUUGAUUGUUUUGUCAAGGUUAAUGCACGAGCUUCACCUUCAAGUUCAAAAAAGAUUGAGCUGGACAAAGAUGAGCAAGAAAUUCAUACCACUGAACCUCUGGAACUGUCAGUUGCACCUGAGAAAGAUGUUGCAUUAACCCAAGAUAGCACUGUUUUCCAUGCACCUACCAGUCAACCCACACCGAAUGCUUCUUGCAAAUCUUUGAAAUUGGAGAAACCAAAGAGG